CGGAGGAAAAGAAACUAACAAGGAUUCCCCCAGUAACGGCGAGUGAAGCGGGAAGAGCUCAAGCUUAAAAUCUCCAUAUUUUAUAUGGCGAAUUGUAGUCUAUUGAGGCUGUUGUCAGCAUAGCGAUCUGGGACAAGUCCCUUGGAAAAGGGCAGCAUUGAGGGUGAUACUCCCGUCUCUGCUCAGAUUGUCUGUGUGUACGAUACGCUUUCUUUGAGUCGAGUUGUUUGGGAAUACAGCUCAAAGUAGGUGGUAAAUUCCAUCUAAAGCUAAAUAUUGGUGCGAGACCGAUAGCGAACAAGUACCGUGAGGGAAAGAUGAAAAGAACUUUGAAAAGAGAGUUAAAGAGUACCUGAAACUGUUGAAAGGGAACCGUAUCGUUUCCAGUGUUGUAUCCUGUGCAUAUUUCAUUAGCGGAGCAAUUUGCUGGUGCCCUGUGCAUGGGUGUGACGUCAGAGUCAGUUUGUAUGCUGCGGGAGAUGGUCAGUGAGGAGGUGCGUCACUUCGGUGAAAGUUAUAUCUCGCUGUCUAGUAGCCGUGGUUGAGACUGAGGUGCCUACAACAUGCCUUGGGGUUCAGUGUUGUCUCGUUUUGGUGACUGCUUGGAUAGCUUGCUAUGUCUGUGGUUAAUCGAGGCGAUUGAUGAUGUUGAAAACCUCUGCUGUUCGGGA
rnacentral:rRNA from 1 species